rnacentral:rRNA from 1 species
GAGUUUGAUCUUGGCUCAGGACGAACGCUGGCGGCGCGCCUAACACAUGCAAGUCGAACGGAGUUGUGUUGAAAGCUUGCUGGAUAUACAACUUAGUGGCGGACGGGUGAGUAACACGUGAGUAACCUGCCUUUCAGAGUGGAAUAACGUCUGGAAACGAACGCUAAUACCGCAUAACAUGAGAGAACGGCAUCGUUCUUUUAUCAAAGAUUUUAUCGCUGAGAGAUGGGCUCGCGGCCGAUUAGGUAGUUGGUGAGAUAACAGCCCACCAAGCCGACGAUCGGUAGCCGGACUGAGAGGUUGAACGGCCACAUUGGGACUGAGAUACGGCCAGACUCCUACGGGAGCAGCAGGUCGGGAAUA